GAGGAGGAUAGCAGCGAAGAUGAUUAACCGCAUAAUUACAUUUGCUUUCUACUUUCUCUAGUUAUGCAUUUAGUUUAGUUUGUUUUUUCAUAUAUAUAUAUAUUUUCUAGAUUAUGAACUUGUAUACAUUUACAGCAACAUUAAGUUCUUUAUGAUCCUUUAAGUUUAUAUGCAAUUGACGAAUUUUUCGUUGUUUCCAUUUGAAUGUUGUUCAUAUGCACAUUU
rnacentral:lncRNA from 1 species